GAUGAACGCUGGCGGCGUGCUUAACACAUGCAAGUCGAACGAUGAAGCCCAGCUUGCUGGGUGGAUUAGUGGCGAACGGGUGAGUAACACGUGAGUAACCUGCCCUUAACUCUGGGAUAAGCCUGGGAAACUGGGUCUAAUACCGGAUAGGAGCGUCCACCGCAUGGUGGGUGUUGGAAAGAUUUAUCGGUUUUGGAUGGACUCGCGGCCUAUCAGCUUGUUGGUGAGGUAAUGGCUCACCAAGGCGACGACGGGUAGCCGGCCUGAGAGGGUGACCGGCCACACUGGGACUGAGACACGGCGCAGACUCCUACGGGAGGCAGCAGUGGGGAAUAUUGCACAAUGGGCGCAAGCCUGAUGCAGCGACGCCGCGUGAGGGAUGACGGCCUUCGGGUUGUAAACCUCUUUCAGUAGGGAAGAAGCGAAAGUGACGGUACCUGCAGAAGAAGCACCGGCUAACUACGUG
rnacentral:rRNA from 1 species